GUGCGAGACCGAUAGCGAACAAGUACCGUGAGGGAAAGAUGAAAAGAACUUUGAAAAGAGAGUUAAAGAGUACCUGAAACUGCUGAAAGGGAAGCGAAUCGUAUCCAGUGUCUAUAAUCUGCGGCAUAUUUCAUUGGCGGCAGUGUGCGUGCUUUUGCGUCGGAAGCGGCUUUUGUUGCUCUGUGCUUUUGCUGUGCGUGCUGUUGCUGGUGCCCUGUGUUGCGGUGGGACGUCAGAGUCAGUUCGUAUGCUGCGGGAAAUGGCCGCCGAGGAGGUAGGUCAGGACUUCGGUCUUGGCUGUUAUAUCUUGGUGGUUUGUUGUCGUGGUUGAGACUGAGGUGCCUACAAUGUGCUUUUGAGUGUACCGGGUUCUCAUUUGGUGGACUGUUUGGAUAGCUUGCUAUGCUUGUGGUUUUUUCAUCGGGUGAUUGAGCCUGGUGGUAACUUGUUGCUGUUCGGGACUUUGA
rnacentral:rRNA from 2 species